GAUGAAGAACGUAGCGAAAUGCGAUACGUAAUGUGAAUUGCAGAAUUCAGUGAAUCAUCGAAUCUUUGAACGCAUAUUGCGCUCUCUGGUAUUCCGGAGAGCAUGCUUGUUUGAGUAUCAGUAAACACCUCAACUUCCAUAUCUUUUUUGAAAUUGGAGCUGGACUUGAGUGAUCCCAACGCUUUCUUCCAAGAAAGUGGCGGGUUGCUUGAAAUGCAGGUGCAGCUGAACUUUUCUCUGAGCUAUAAGCAUAUCUAUUUAGUCUGCCUAAAAAACAGAUUAUUACCUUUGCUGCAGCUAACAUAAAGGAGACUAGUUCUUGUGCUGACUGAUGCAGGAUUCACAGAGACAGCUUCGGCUGACUUUGUAAACUCGAUCUCAAAUCAAGUAAGACUACCCGCUGAACUUAAGCAUAUCAAUAAGCGGAGGA
rnacentral:misc_RNA from 1 species